AAAAGCCUAUGAUGUUUAGUUAGCCCUGUCUGAAAAUCUCGACUGAAGGAAAGUAAUCUGUUCUGAGGCUUGU
rnacentral:snoRNA from 1 species